AGCAUGUUAGCUAAGUGGUAUAGCGCUGGGCUCAUAACCCAGAGGUCCCUGGAUCGAAACCAGGACAUGCUA